rnacentral:rRNA from 1 species
CAGAUAUCAUCUCCUUCGGCGAUUCCGUUUGGAUAACUGUGGAAAUUCUAGAGCUAAUACACGUACUAAAGCCUUGAAUCAUGAGAGGCGCACUUAUUAGAACAGACCAAUCGUCGCAAGACGUUGACUGUUGACUCUGAAUAAUGCAGUAUAUUGUCGAAGCAAUUCGACAAAGGCCGAAACGAGUGUCUGCCCUAUCAACUAGAUGGUAGUCUAUUAGUCUACCAUGGUUGCAACGGGUAACGGAGAAUAAGGGUUCGACUCCGGAGAGGGAGCCUUAGAAACGGCUACCACAUCCAAGGAAGGCAGCAGGCGCGAAACUUAUCCACUGUUGACAAUGAGAUAGUGACUAAACAUAAAAAAGCCCCUCCUCUGGAGGGGCUAUUUCAAUGAGUUGAAUACAAAUGAUUCUUCGAGGAUCCAGGAGAGGGCAAGUCUGGUGCCAGCAGCCGCGGUAAUUCCAGCUCUCCUAGUGUAAAUCGUCAUUGCUGCGGUUAAAAAGCUCGUAGUUGGAUCUAGGUCAUAUGCUGUUGUUCGUUUUUAGCGUUAAUAACGGCUGUGACUUUCUGUUGGUUUUCUACUUCGGUGGUGACCAGCGCGUUUACUUUGAAUAAAUUAAAGUGCUCAAGACAAGCGUUCGCUUGAAUAGUUGAUCAUGGAAUAAUGGAACAGGACUUCGGUUCUUUUUAUUGGUUCUAGAACUGUAGUAAUGGUUAAGAGGGACAACUCGGGGGCAUUCGUAUCAUUGCGCGAGAGGUGAAAUUCGUGGACCGCAGUGGGACGCCCUAAAGCGAAAGCAUUUGCCAAGAAUGUCUUCAUUAAUCAAGAACGAAAGUC